rnacentral:rRNA from 1 species
GGGUUGUGAGGUUAAGCGACUAAGCGUACACGGUGGAUGCCCUGGCAGUCAGAGGCGAUGAAGGACGUGCUAAUCUGCGAUAAGCGUCGGUAAGGUGAUAUGAACCGUUAUAACCGGCGAUUUCCGAAUGGGGAAACCCAGUGUGAUUCGUCACACUAUCAUUAACUGAAUCCAUAGGUUAAUGAGGCGAACCGGGGGAACUGAAACAUCUAAGUACCCCGAGGAAAAGAAAUCAACCGAGAUUCCCCCAGUAGCGGCGAGCGAACGGGGAGCAGCCCAGAGCCUGAAUCAGUGUGUGUGUUAGUGGAAGCGUCUGGAAAGGCGCGCGAUACAGGGUGACAGCCCCGUACACAAAA